GACGAACGCUGGCGGCGUGCUUAACACAUGCAAGUCGAACGGAAAGGCCCUGCUUUUGUGGGGUUCUCGAGUGGCGAACGGGUGAGUAACACGUGAGUAACCCGCCCUUAUCUGUCGGAUAACUUCACGGAACUGGGGCUAAUAUCGGAUAGGAUAUCCUGCUGCAUGGUGGGGGUUGGAAAGUGUCGGCGGUUGGGGAUGGACUCGCGGCUUAUCAGCUUGUUGGUGGGGUAGUGGCUUACCACGGCUUUGACGGGUAGCCGGCCUGAGAGGGUGACCGGCCACAAUGGGACUAAGAUACGGCGCAGACUCCUACGGGAGGCAGCAGUGGGGAAUAUUGCACAGUGGGCGGGAGCCUGAUGCAGCAACGCCGCGUGCGGGAUGACGGCCUUCGGGGUGUAAACCGCUGUCGCCUGUGACGAAGCGGGAGUGACGGUAAUGGGUAAAGAAGCACCGGCUAACUACGUG
rnacentral:rRNA from 1 species